AGGAACUCGAGACGUUUUCCUAGAGAGGAGGAGCUGAGCCUGUGCGAUCUUCACAUUUUUCUCGCUCCUCUCCGGCUUCAGCCCCAGAGGCGGUGUAGAGCCUCCUUAAGGAGAAAAAGAAAAGCCGAGAGUCUAAUUACAAUCUCUUUAUAACCUGCAAUUUAUAAACUAUAAUAACUGUAAAGUUCUAGGAUCCACUCUCCAUGGUUUGCCAUCCAGCCCUGGACCCAGGAGGCCUGACCUAUGUAGAUGGCUUCAAGAGUUUCCUUUGGCUUCCGGCUUCAGGCAACUGGUCCUCUCACCAUAGCCUUUCAUUACACAUACACACUCUGUCGCAUUAAAAGGCUAGACUCUAGAAGCCAGAGACAUAAAAGCUUAACCUCUCAUAGUUAAAAAAAUAUAUAAAUGUUAUGGACUGAAUUGUGUACCCUAAAAAUUCACAUGUUGAAGCCAUAACCCAACAAUGUGGCUCUAUUUGGAGAUAUAAAUUUUAGAAGGUAAUUAAGGUUAAAUGAGAUCAUAAAGGUCGGAGCCCUAAUCUGAUAGUAUUAGUGGCCUUAUAAGAAGAAGAGAUCACACUUUGUCUCCCUUCCUGUCUCCCUGGCCCCCUCCCCCCACACCACUGCCGUCCCCACCGCGUGAGGACACAGCGAGAAGGUAGUUGUCUACAAGCCAGAAAGAGGGUUCUCAUCAGGAACUGAACCAGCCGGCACCUUGAUCUUGGACUUCCCAGCCUCCAGAACUAAAGAGAAAUAAAUAUCUGUUGUUUAAGC
rnacentral:lncRNA from 1 species